rnacentral:rRNA from 1 species
AAUGAACGCUGGCGGCGUGCUUAACACAUGCAAGUCGAGCGAGGCGGAAGGGGGCAACUCCUUCCAGUCGAGCGGCGGACGGGUGAGUAACACGUGGGUAACCUGCCCGGAAGUGGGGAAUACCUCGGGGAAACUCGAGCUAAUACCGCAUGACAUCUUUCGGGACGAAAGUCCUGGUGAUCAAAGCGGGGGUCGCAAGAUCUCGCGCUACCGGAUGGGCCCGCGCCCGAUUAGCUAGUUGGUGAGGUAACGGCUCACCAAGGCUUCGAUCGGUAACCGGCCUGAGAGGGCGAUCGGUCACACCGGAACUGAGACACGGUCCGGGACUCCUACGGGAGGCAGCAGUGGGGAAUCUUGCGCAAUGGCGAAAGCCUGACGCAGCAAACGCCGCGUGGAGGAUGAAGGCCCUUGGGUUGUAAACUCCUGUCGGCUGGGAAGAAAUCGUUCGGGGUUAAUACCCUCGGACGUUGACUGUACCAGCAAAGGAAGCCCCGGCUAACUCUGUGCCAGCAGCCGCCGUAAU